CUACUACAAAAAGCCUAGAUUUCUAUCAGUAGAACAUCACAUUAUUCUUUUCUGUUUGCAGGAAGAUUUGGUGUUGAUGGAGGAGGCAACAUCUUCAAGGCAAAACCUUAGACCUGAUGCAACAUCAUCCAGUGUCAAAAUCACCCUUUAGGAGGCACUUGAAGACCAGUGCCCAAUAUGCACAGGAACAUUUCCAGUGUCAGAAGUAGACCUUCCAUGCCAGCUUUUGUGGAGACAGUGAGGAGGAUGUGAUUCGUCAUGCAGCAGCACAGAUAAACACCACAAAGACAUCUGAAGUCUGUCACGAGAUAACAC